GGCUGGUCCGAAGGUAGUGAGUUAUCUCAAUUGAUUGUUCACAGUCAGUUACAGAUCGAACUUCUUGUUCUACUCUUUCCCCCUUCUCACUACUGCACUUGACUACUCUUAA
ensembl:Y_RNA Y_RNA Y RNA